UCUUCAGUAUCCUAUUGUCUAUAUAUAACCGGUGGGUUUGGUGGGUUGGCGGCACCAGGCUAAUAUUAAGUAGUAAAUCAAAUGAAAAUUGAUCUUUUCAUAAUCUCAAAAUGUAAGAAGGCGUAAUUGGUCUAUCUUGUUGAUGUUUAAACCAGUAAGGAAGGGCAAAAGUCGGGCGGUGCCCUAUAAGUACAAUGUGGGAGCUAUAUCCAGUUCUGAACCAAAUUUUGAUGAACCUCGGCGAGCAAAUAGGUUCAAACUCUCUAUUUCAUUCUGGACCUGGAUUUCGAGCAAACUUCUCAGAUAAUGUGGUAGUCGUCGAGGAAAGCGUUGUGCAAAAUGUUGGCAAGAUUGAUCAAAGAAUGCGCUUGCAGUGGCUCUAGGAGUGGAAAUCGGGCGAUAUCUAUAUAUACCAGCUGACUCGGACCCGCUCCGCUGCGCCUUCUUUUACUUAAUAUGGAACAAAAGUUUUCUUUGAAUAUUUAUUUUCGACAAUUAAAGAGCUUUUAGUGAAA